rnacentral:rRNA from 1 species
CCUACGGGGGGCAGCAGUGGGGGAUAUUGCACAAUGGGGGGAACCCUGAUGCAGCGACGCCGCGUGGGUGAAGAAGCGCCUCGGCGCGUAAAGCCCUGUCAGCAGGGAAGAAAAUGACGGUACCUGAAGAAGAAGCCCCGGCUAACUACGUGCCAGCAGCCGCGGUAAUACGUAGGGGGCAAGCGUUACCCGGAUUUACUGGGUGGAAAGGGGGCGCAAACGGCGAUGCAAGCCAGGAGUGAAAGCCCGGGGCCCAACCCCGGGACUGCUCUCGGAACUGCGUGGCUGGAGUGCAGGAGGUGCAGGCGGAAUUCCUGGUGUAGCGGUGAAAUGCGUAGAUAUCAGGAGGAACACCGGUGGCGAAGGCGGCCUGCUGGACUGCAACUGACGUUGAGGCCCGAAAGCGUGGGGAGCAAACAGGAUUAGAUACCCCAGUAGUC